rnacentral:lncRNA from 1 species
AUGACGGGGUCUCGAGGUAAGACGGGGUACCGCACACAAACAAGAAACUACACGUUGUUGAAUAGCAUGCAGUAACUCAAUAGGAAGAGUCAUUCGACUAACGGUCCCUGCAAGAGAAACCGUGAAUGAAAGUGCACGCGUUUUUUGUUUACAAACGGAAAACUGUUUUAGCGAUCCGUUGAUCUAAUUUUGUGCAAGGACAACCAUCGUUAUUUUAAGGUAAUUAUGAUCACCUCAUUAAUGUCUUUGUUAUCGUUGUUUACUAGUAUUCUUAUUUUGAUAAUGGCAUAUUGUUUGUGUGAAUACGUUAAACAUUUAAUUAGUGAAUUUUUUUUUGUUCAAAGUUACCUUUUGAGGCAAGAUGGGGUAUUGGGUGCGGGGUAUGGUGGGACAUUGGUGAUAAUACCAUGGUACGUACUUACAAGAAAAAA